rnacentral:rRNA from 1 species
UACGUAGGCAGCAAGCGUUGUUCGGAGUUACUGGGCGUAAAGAGUGCGUAGGCGGUCCUAUAAGUUCCGUGUGAAAUCUCCCGGCUCAACUGGGAGGGUGCGCGGAAGACUGUAGGGCUUGAGUGUGGGAGAGGUAAGCGGAAUUCCGGGUGUAGCGGUGGAAUGCGUAGAGAUCCGGAGGAAGACCGGUGGCGAAGGCGGUCUGCUGGGCAGUUUCUGACACUGAUGCGCGACAGCGUGGGGAGCAAACAGG